GAUGAACGCUGGCGGCGUGCCUAAUACAUGCAAGUCGAGCGAACAGACGAGGAGCUUGCUCCUCUGACGUUAGCGGCGGACGGGUGAGUAACACGUGGAUAACCUACCUAUCAGACUGGGAUAACUUCGGGAAACCGGAGCUAAUACCGGAUAAUAUAUUGAACCGCAUGGUUCAAUAGUGAAAGACGGUUUUGCUGUCACUUAUAGAUUGAUCCGCGCCGCAUUAGCUAGUUGGUAAGGUAACGGCUUACCAAGGCAACGAUGCGUAGCCGACCUGAGCGGGUGAUCGGCCACACUGGAACUGAGACACGGUACAGACUCCUACGGGAGGCAGCAGUAGGGAAUCUUCCGCAAUGGGCGAAAGCUUGACGGAGCAACGCCGCGGGAGUGAUGAAGGUCUUCGGAUCGUAGAACUAUGUUAUUAGGGAAGAACAAAUGUGUAAGUAACUAUGCACGUCUUGACGGUACCUAAUCAGAAAGCCACGGCUAACUACGUG
rnacentral:rRNA from 1 species